AAAAUACUCCCUCCGUCCCAAAAUUCUUGUCUUAGAUUUGUCUAAAUACGGAUGUAUCAAGUCACGUUUUAGUAUUAGAUACAUCCGUAUCUAGACGAAUCUAAGACAAGAAUUUUGGGACGGAGGGAGUAUAUA
rnacentral:pre_miRNA from 1 species